GUCUAUGGCCAUACCACCCUGAACGUGCCCAAUCUUGCCUGAUCUUGGAAGCUAAGCAGGGUUGGGCCUGGUUAGUACUUGGAUGGAAUACCCCCUGGGAAUACGGGUGCUGUAGGCA
ensembl:rRNA 5S_rRNA 5S ribosomal RNA